AGUCUCGUAGUUUAUUUGGUAGAGCGUGUGCCGUACAAAAGUGUAGGCGGCGUCCAUGCGUGGGUUCGAAUCCCGCCGAGGUUA
rnacentral:tRNA from 1 species